GCCCCGUUCGUCUAUCGGCGAGGACACCGCGCUCUCAAUGCGGAAAGACGGGUUCGACUCCCGUACGGGGUA
rfam:Archangium gephyra strain DSM 2261, complete genome.